UACGGAGGGUGCGAGCGUUAUCCGGAUUCACUGGGUUUAAAGGGUGCGUAGGUGGGAAUGUAAGUCAGUGGUGAAAUCUCUGAGCUUAACUCAGAAACUGCCAUUGAUACUAUGUUUCUUGAAUUUUCUGGAGGUCAGCGGAAUAUGUCAUGUAGCGGUGAAAUGCUUAGAUAUGACAUAGAAACACCAAUUGCGAAGGCAGCUGGCUACAGGGAUAUUGACACUGAGGCACGAAAGCGUGGGGAUCAAACAGG
rnacentral:rRNA from 1 species